rnacentral:rRNA from 1 species
CCAGACUCCUACGGGAGGCAGCAGUGGGGAAUAUUGCACAAUGGGGGAAACCCUGAUGCAGCGACGCCGCGUGAGCGAUGAAGUAUUUCGGUAUGUAAAGCUCUAUCAGCAGGGAAGAAAAUGACGGUACCUGACUAAGAGGCCCCGGCUAACUACGUGCCAGCAGCCGCGGUAAUACGUAGGGGGCAAGCGUUAUCCGGAUUUACUGGGUGUAAAGGGAGCGUAGACGGUCCUGCAAGCCAGAUGUGAAAGCCCGGGGCUCAACCCCGGGACUGCAUUUGGAACUGUAAGGCUAGAGUGUCGGAGAGGCAGGCGGAAUUCCUAGUGUAGCGGUGAAAUGCGUAGAUAUUAGGAGGAACACCGGUGGCGAAGGCGGCCUGCUGGACUGUAACUGCCGUUGAGGCUCGAAAGCGUGGGGAGCAAACAGGAUUAGAUACCCCGGUAGCG